rnacentral:rRNA from 1 species
CGGGGAAUAUUGCACAAUGGGCGAAAGCCUGAUGCAGCGACGCCGCGUGGGGGAUGAAGGCUCUCGGGUCGUAAACCCCUUUCAGCAGGGACGAAAUCAGACGGUACCUGCAGAAGAAGCUCCGGCCAACUACGUGCCAGCAGCCGCGGUAACACGUAGGGAGCAAGCGUUGUCCGGAUUUAUUGGGCGUAAAGAGCUCGUAGGCGGUUCGAUAAGUCAGGUGUGAAAACUCUGGGCUCAACUCAGAGACGCCACUUGAUACUGUCGUGACUUGAAUCUGGUAGGGGAGUGUGGAAUUCCCGGUGUAGCGGUGAAAUGCGCAGAUAUCGGGAGGAACACCAGUGGCGAAGGCGGCACUCUGGGCCAGUAUUGACGCUGAGGAGCGAAAGCGUGGGGAGCGAACAG